rnacentral:tRNA from 1 species
GAAUUGUGGCUCAGCGGUAGAGCUCUUGCUUAGCACGUGAGAGGCCCUGGGUUCAAUCCUCAACAACA